rnacentral:ncRNA from 1 species
AGAGUAGGCACAUACGCGUCAAGUAUCGGGUGAACGGGGAGUUGUCAUCCGGGCGAAGAGGAGUCAUGUGAUCUUUGUCAUCUGUACAAAGAAGCACAUAAAAGAUUUCUCGCGGUGUAUGAGCUGCAUCCCGCUGC